rnacentral:lncRNA from 1 species
ACUUCUAAUGUUUAGGUCCGUAUGAUUUGAAAUACUUGCACAUAAACCGCACAAAAGCGUUCCUGGAAAUCUCAGCCCAAAAAAGGACGUUUAGUAAUUCUAAAAGGGACUACAGGAUGAAAAACAAUAGUUUUGGCAGUUAAAGUUUGAGAUUCGACGGUGCCGUAGAUCCGUUUGGUCAUCAGGUGUUACGAGCCACACCCAUGUCUAGCUAGAAUAGUGUGUUAGGCUCAGGCUAGAGAAGAAACUUGGAACAAACUGAUGAAAGAAUGAUCAAACCAACGGAAUUCACUCAGAACUAACAAUAAUGAUAACGUGCUCCGACUGGAGCAGUUUAGGAACUGCUGGAAGGCUCUAGGGGAAUAAAGAUGGAAUGACUUCUAAUUUUUAGGUCCGUAUGAUUUGAAAUACUUGCACGCAAACCGCGCGAAAGCGUUCCUGGAAAUAUCAGCCCAAAAAAGGACGUUUAGUAAUUCUAAAAGGGACUACAGGAUGAAAACAAUAGUUUUGGCAGUUAAAGUUUGAGAUUCAACAGUGCCGUAGAUCCGUUUGGUCAUCAGGUGUUAUGAGCCAUACCCAUGUCUAGCUAGAGUAGUGUGCUAGGCUCAGGCUAGAGAAGAAACAGGGAACAAACUGAUGAAAGAAUGAUCAUACCGAGGGAAUUCACUCAGAACUAACAAGAAUGAUAACGUGCUCCGACUGGAGCGGUUUAGGAACUGCUGGAAGGCUCUAGGGGAAUAAAGAUGGAGUGACUUCUAAAUUUUUAGGUCCGUAUGAUUUAAAAUACUUGCACACAAACCGCACGAAAGCGUUCCUUGAAAUCUCAGCCCAAAAAAGGACGUUUAGUAAGUCUAAAAGGGACUAUAGGAUGAAAAACAAUAGUUUUGGCAGUUAAAGUUUGAGAUUCGAUGGUGCCGUAGAUCUGUUUGGUCAUCAGGUGUUACGAGCCACACCCAUGUCUAGUUGGAAUAGUGUGCUAGGCUCAGACUAGAGAAGAAACAGGGAACAAACUGAUGAAAGAAUGAUCAAACCGAGGAAAUUCACUCAGAACUAACAAUAAUGAUAACAUGCUCCGACUGGAGCGGUUUAGGAACUGCUGGAAGGCUCUAGGGGAAUAAAGAUGGAAUGACUUCUAAAUUUUUAGGUCCGUAUGAUUUGAAAUAGUUGCACACAAACUGCGCGAAAGCGUUCCUGGAAAUCUCAGCCCAAAAAAGGACGUUUAGUAAUUCUAAAAGGGACUAUAGGAUGAAAAACAAUAGUUUUGGCAGUUAAAGUUUGAGAUUCGACGGUGCCGUAGAUCCGUUUGGUCAUCACGUGUUACAAGCCACACCCAUGUCUAGCUAGAGUAGUGUGCUAGGCUCAGACUAUAGAAGAAACGGGGACCAAACUGAUGAAAGAAUGAUCAAACCGAGGAAAUUCACUCAGAACUAACAAUAAUGAUAACAUGCUCCGACUGGAGCGGUUUAGGAACUACUGGAAGGCUCUAGGGGAAUAAAGAUGGAAUGACUUCUAAAUUUUUAGGUCCGUAUGAUUUUAAAUAGUUGCACACAAACUGCGCGAAAGCGUUCCUGGAAAUCUCAGCCCAAAAAAGGACGUUUAGUAAUUCUAAAAGGGACUACAGGAUGAAAAACAAUAGUUUGGGCAGUUAAAAUUUGAGAUUCGACGGUGCCGUAGAUCCGUUUGGUCAUCAGGUGUUACGAGCCACACCCAUGUCUAGCUAGAGUAGUGUGCUAGGCUCAGGCUAGAGAAGAAACAGGGAACAAACUGAUGAAAGAAUGAUCAUACCGAGGGAAUUCACUCAGAACUAACAAGAAUGAUAACGUGCUCUGACUGGAGCGGUUUAAGAACUGUUGGAAGGCUCUAGGGGAAUAAAGAUGGAAUCACUUCAAAUUUUUACGUCCGUGUGAUUUGAAAUACUUGCACACAAACCGCACGAAAGCGUUCCUGGAAAUCUCAGCCCAAAAAAGGACGUUUAGUAAGUCUAAAAGGGACUACACGAUGAAAAACAAUAGUUUUGGCAGUUAAAGUUUGAGAUUCGACAGUGCCGUAGAUCCGUUUGGUCAUCAGGUGUAACGAGCCACACCCAUGUCUAGAUAGAGUAGUGUGCUAGGCUCAAACUAGAGAAGAAACGGGGAACAAACUGAUGAAAGAAUGAUCAUACCGAGGGAAUUCACUCAGAAAUAACAAGAAUGAUAACGUGCUCUGACUGGAGCGGUUUAGGAACUGCUGGAAGGCUCUAGGGGAAUAAAGAAGGAAUGACUUCUAAUUUUUAGGUCCGUAUGAUUUGAAAUACGUGCACACAAACCCCGAGAAAGCGUUCCUGGAAAUCUCGACCCAAAAAAGGACGUUUAGUAAUUCUAAAAGGGACUACGGGAUGAAAAACAAUAGUUUUGGCAGUUAAAGUUUGAGAUUCGAUAAUGCCGUAGAUCCAUUUGGUCAUCAGGUGUAACGAGCCACACCCAUGUCUAGCUAGAGUAGUGUGCUAGGCUCAGACUAGAGAAGAAACAGGGAACAAACUGAUGAAAGAAUGAUCAUAUCGAGGGAAUUCACUCAGAACUAACAAGAAUGAUAACAUGCUCCGACUUGAGCGGUUUAGGAACUGCUGGAAGGCUCUAGGGGAAUAAAGAUGGAAUGACUUCUAAUUUUUAGGUCCGUAUGAUUUGAAAUACUUACACACAAACCACGCGAAAGCGUUCCUGGAAAUCUCAGCCCAAAAAAGGACGUUUAGUAAUUCUAAAAGGGACUACAUGAUGAAAAACAAUAGUUUUCGCAGUUAAAGUUUGAGAUUCGACGGUGCCGUAGAUCCGUUUGGUCAUCAAGUGUUACGAGCCACACCCAUGUCUAGCUAGAAUAGUGUGUUAGGCUCAGCCUAGAGAAGAAACGGGGAACAAACUGAUGAAAGAAUGAUCAUACCGAGGGAAUUCACUCAGAACUUACAAGAAUGAUAACGUGCUCCGACUUGAGCGGUUUAAGAACUGUUGGAAGGCUCUAGGGGAAUAAAGAUGGAAUCACUUCAAAUUUUUACGUCCGUGUGAUUUGAAAUACUUGCACACAAACCCCGAGAAAGCGUUCCUGGAAAUCUCGGCCGAAAAAAGGAUGUUUAAUAAUUCUAAAAGGGACUACAGGAUGAAAAACAAUAGCUUUGGCAGUUAAAGUUUGUGAUUCGAUGGUGCCGUAGAUCUGUUUGGUCAUCAGGUGUUAUGAGCCACACCCAUGUCUAGCUAGAAUAGUGUGUUAGGCUCAGGCUAGAGCAGAAACUAGGAACAAACUUAUGAAAGAAUGAUCAUACCGAGGGAAUUCACUCAGAACUAACAAGAAUGAUAACGUGCUCCGACUGGAGCGGUUUAGGAACUGCUGGAAGGCUCUAGGGGAAUAAAGAUGGAAUGACUUCUAAUUUUUAGGUCCGUAUGAUUUGAAAUACAUGCACACAAACCCCAAGAAAGCGUUCCUAGAAAUCUCAGCCCAAAAAGGACGUUUAGUAAUUCUAAAAGGGACUACAGGAUGAAAAACAAUAGGUUUGGCAGUUAAAGUUUGAGAUUCGAUAAUGCCGUAGAUCCGUUUGGUCAUCAGGUGUAACGAGCCACACCCAUGUCUAGCUACAUUAGUGUGCUAGGCUCAGACUAGAGAAGAAACGGGGAACAAACUGAUGAAAGAAUGAUCAUACCGAGGGAAUUCACUCAGAACUAACAAGAACGAUAACAUGCUCCGACUGCAGCGGUUUAGGAACUGCUGGAAGGCUCUAGGGGAAUAAAGAAGGAAUGACUUCUAAUUUUUAGGUCCGUAUGAUUUGAAAUACUUGCACACAAACCGCGCGAAAGCAUUCCUGGAAAUCUCAGCCCAAAAAAGGACGUUUAGUAAUUCUAAAAGGGACUACAGGAUGAAAAACAAUAAUUUUGGCAGUUAAAGUUUGAGAUUCGACGGUGCCGUAGAUCCGUUUGGUCAUCAGGUGUUACGGGCCAUACCCAUGUCUAGCUAGAAUAGUGUGUUAGGCUCAGGUUAGAGAAGAAACGGGGAACAAAGUGAUGAAAGAAUGAUCAUACCGAGGGAAUUCACUCAGAACUAACAAGAAUGAUAACGUGCUCCGACUGGAGCGGUUUAGGAAUUGCUGGAAGGCUCUAGGGGAAUAAAGAUGGAAUGACUUCUAUAUUUUACGUCCGUAUGAUUUGAAAUACUUGCACACAAACCACGCAAAAGCACUCCUGGAAAUAUCAGCCUAAAAAGGAUGUUUAGUAAUUCUAAAAGGGACUACAGGAUGAAAAAUAAUAGUUUUGGCAGUUAAAAUUUGAGAUUCAACGGUGCCGUAAAUCCGUUUGGUCAUCAGGUGUUACGAGCCACACCCAUGUCUAGCUAGAAUAGUGUGUUAGGCUCAGGUUAGAGAAGAAACGGGGAACAAACUGAUGAAAGAAUGAUCAUACAAGGGGAAUUCACUCAGAACUAUCAAGAAUGAUAACGUGCUCCGACUGGAGCAGUUUAGGAACUGCCGGAAGGCUCUAGGGGAAUAAAGAUGGAAUGACUUCUAAUUUUUAUGUCCGUAUGAUUUGAAAUACUUGCACACAAACCACGCAAAAGCGUUCCUGGAAAUCUCAGCCUAAAAAGGACGUUUAGUAAUUCUAAAAGGGACUACAGGAUGAAAAACAAUAGUUUGGGCAGUUAAAAUUCGAGAUUCGACGGUGCCGUAGAUCCGUUUGGUCAUCAGGUGUUACGAGCCACACCCAUGUCUAGCUAGAAUAGUGUGUUAGGCUCAGGCUAGAGAAGAAACGGGGAACAAACUGAUGAAAGAAUGAUCAUAUCGAGGGAAUUCACUCAGAACUAACAAGAAUGAUAACGUGCUCCGACUGGAGCGGUUUAGUAACUGCUGGAAGGCUCUAGGGGAAUAAAGAUGGAAUGACUUCUAAUUAUUAGGUCCGUAAGAUUUGAAUUACAUGCACACAAACCCCGAGAAAGCGUUCCUGGAAAUCUCGGUCGAAAAAAGGAUGUUUAGUAAUUCUAAAAGGGACUACAGGAUGAAAAACAAUAGUUUUGGCAGUUAAAGUUUGUGAUUCGAUGGUGCCGUAGAUCUGUUUGGUCAUCAGGUGUUACGAGCCACACCCAUGUCUAGCUAGAAUAGUGUGUUAGGCUCAGGCUAGAGCAGAAACGGGGAACAAACUUAUGAAAGAAUGAUCAUGCCGAGGGAAUUCACUCAGAACUAACAAGAAUGAUAACGUGCUCCGACUGGAGCGGUUUAGGAACUGCUGGAAGGCUCUAGGGGAAUAAAGAUGGAAUGACAUCAAAUUUUUAGGUCCGUAUGAUUUGAAAUACUUGCACACAAACCGCAAGAAAGCGUUCUUGGAAAUCUCCGCCCAAAAAAGGACGUUUAGUAAUUCUAAAAGGGUCUACAGGAUGAAAAACAAUAGUUCUGGCAGUUAAAGUUUGAGAUUCGAUAAUGUCGUAGAUCCGUUUGGUCAUCAGGCGUAACGAGCCACACCCAUUUCUAGCUAGAGUAGUGUGCUAGGCUCAGACUAGAGAAGAAACGGGGAACAACCUGAUGAAAGAAUGAUCAUACCGAGGGAAUUCACUCAGAACUAACAAGAAUGAUAACGUGCUCCGACUGGAGCGGUUUAGGAACUGCUGGAAGGCUCUACGGGAAUAAAGAAGGAAUGACUUCUAAUUUUUAGGUCCGUAUGAUUUGAAAUACGUGCACACAAACCCCGAGAAAGCGUUCCUGGAAAUCUCGGCCCAAAAAAGGACGUUUAGUAUUCUAAAAGCGACUACAGAAUGAAAAACAAUAGUUUUGGUAGUUAAAGUUUGAGAUUUAACGGUGCCGUAGAUCUGUUUGGUCAUCAGGUGUUACGAGCCACACCCAUGUCUAGCUAGAAUAGUGUGUUAGGCUCAGGCUAGAUAAGAAACAGGGAACAAAGUGAUGAAAGAAUGAUCAUACCAAGGGAAUUCACUCAGAACUAACAAGAACGAUAACAUGCUCCGACUGGAGUGGUUUAGGAACUGCUGGAAGGCUCUAGGGGAAUAAAGAUGGAAUGACUUCUAAUUUUUAGGUCUGUAUGAUUUGAAAUACUUGCACACAAACCGCACGAAAGCGUUCCUGGAAAUCUCAUCCCAAAAAAGGACGUUUAGUAAUUCUAAAAGGGACUACAGGAUGAAAAACAAUAGUUUUGGCAGUUAAAGUUUGAGAUUCGAUAAUGCUGUAGAUCCGUUUGGUCAUCAGGUGUAACGAGCCACACCCAUGUCUAGCUAGAGUAGUGUGCUAGGCUCAGACUAGAGAAGAAACGGGGAACAAACUGAUGAAAGAAUGAUCAUACCGAGGGAAUUCACUCAGAACUAACAAUAAUGAUAACGUGCUCCGACUGGAGCGGUUUAGGAACUGCUGGAAGGCUCUAGGGGAAUAAAGAUGGAAUGAGUUCUAAUUUUUAGGUCUGUAUGAUUUGAAAUACUUGCACACAAACCGCGUGAAAGCAUUCCUGGAAAUUUCAGCCCAAAAAAGGACGUUUAGUAAUUUUAAAAGGGACUACACGAUGAAAAACAAUAGUUUUGGCAGUUAAAGUUUGAGAUUCGACGGUGCCGUAGAUCCGUUUGGUCAUCAGGUGUUACGAGCCACACCCAUGUCUAGCUAGAAUAGUAUGUUAGGCUCGGGUAAGAGAAGAAACGGGGAACAAACUGAUGAAAGAAUGAUCAUACCAAGGGAAUUCACUCAGAACUAACAAGAAUGAUAACGUGCUCCGACUGGAGCGGUUUAGGAACUGCUGGAAGGCUCUAGGGGAAUAAAGAUGGAAUGACUUCUAAUUUUUACGUUCGUAUGAUUUGAAAUACUUGCACACAAACCACGCAAAAGCGUUCCUGGAAAUCUCAUCCUAAAAAAGGACGUUUAGUAAUUCUAAAAGGGACUACAGGAUGAAAAAUAAUAGUUUGGGCAGUUAAAAUUUGAGAUUCGACGGUGCCGUAGAUCCGUUUGGUCAUCAGGUGUUACGAGCCACACCCAUGUCUAGCUAGAAUAGUGUGUUAGGCUCAGGCUAGAGAAGAAACGGGGAACAAACUGAUGAAAGAAUGAUCAUAUCGAGGGAAUUCACUCAGAACUAACAAGAAUGAUAACGUGCUCCGACUGGAGCAGUUUAGAAACUGCUGGAAGGCUCUAGGGGAAUAAAGAUGGAAUGACUUCUAAUUUUUAGGUCUGUAUGAUUUGAAAUACGUGCACACGAACCCCGAGAAAGCGUUCCUGGAAAUCUCGGCCCAAAAAAGGACGUUUAGUAAUUCUAAAAGGGACUACAGGAUGAAAAACAAUAGUUUUGGCAGUUAAAGUUUGAGAUUCGACGGUGCCGUAGAUCCGUUUGUUCAUCAGGUGUUACGAGCCACACCCAUGUCUAGCUAGAAUAGUGUGUUAGGCUCAGGCUAGAGAAGAAACGGGGAACAAACUGAUGAAAGAAUGAUCAUACCGAGGGAAUUCACUCAGAACUAACAAGAAUGAUAACGUGCUCCGACUGGAGCGGUUUAGGAACUGCUAGAAGGCUCUAGGGGAAUAAAGAAGGAAUGACUUCUAAUUUUUAGGUCCGUAUGAUUUGAAAUACGUGCACACAAACCCCGAGAAAGCGUUCCUGGAAAUCUUGGCCCAAAAAAGGACGUUUAGUAUUCUAAAAGCGACUACAGAAUGAAAAACAAUAGUUUUGCUAGUUAAAGUUUGAGAUUUGAUGGUGCCGUAGAUCUGUUUGGUCAUCAGGUUUUACGAGCCACACCCAUGUCUAGCUAGAAUAGUGUGUUAGGCUCAGGCUAGAAAAGAAACAGGGAAUAAAGUGAUGAAAGAAUGAUCAUACCAAGGGAAUUCACUCAGAACUAACAAGAACGAUAACAUGCUCCGACUGGAGUGGUUUAGAACUGCUGGAAGGCUAAAGGGGAAUAAAGAUGGAAUGACUUCUAAUUUUUAGGUCCGUAUGAUUUGAAAUACUUGCACACAAACCGCACGAAAGUGUUCCUGGAAAUCUCAGCCCAAAAAAGGACGUUUAGUAAUUCUAAAAGGGACUACAGGAUGAAAAACAAUAGUUUUGGCAGUUAAAGUUUGAGAUUCGAUAAUGACGUAGAUCCGUUUGGUCAUCAGGUGUAACGAGCCACACCCAUGUCUAGCUAGAGUAGUGUGCUAGGCUCAGACUAGAGAAGAAACGGGGAACAAACUGAUGAAAGAAUGAUCAUACCGAGGGAAUUCACUCAGAACUAACAAUAAUGAUAACGUGCUCCGACUAGAGCGGUUUAGGAACUGCUGGAAGGCUCUAGGGGAAUAAAGAUGGAAUGACUUCUAAUUUUUAGGUCCCUAUGAUUUGAAAUACUUGCACACAAACCGCGUGAAAGCAUUCCUGGAAAUUUCAGCCCAAAAAAGGACGUUUAGUAAUUUUAAAAGGGACUACACGAUGAAAAAGAAUAGUUUUGGCAGUUAAAGUUUGAGAUUCGACGGUGCCGUAGAUCCGUUUGGUCAUCAGGUGUUACGAGACACACCCAUGUCUAGCUAGAAUAGUAUGUUAGGCUCGGGUUAGAGAAGAAACGGGGAACAAACUGAUGAAAGAAUGAUCAUACCAAGGGAAUUCACUCAGAACUAACAAGAAUGAUAACGUGCUCCGACUGGAGCGGUUUAGGAACUGCUGGAAGGCUCUAGGGGAAUAAAGAUGGAAUGACUUCUAAUUUUUACGUUCGUAUGAUUUGAAAUACUUGCAAACAAACCACGCAAAAGCGUUCCUGGAAAUUUCAUCCUAAAAAAGGACGUUUAGUAAUUCUAAAAGGGACUACAGGAUGAAAAAUAAUAGUUUGGGCAGUUAAAAUUUGAGAUUCGAUGGUGCCGUAGAUCCGUUUGGUCAUCAGGUGUUACGAGCCACACCCAUGUCUAGCUAGAAUAGUGUGUUAGGCUCAGGCUAGAGAAGAAACGGGGAACAAACUGAUGAAAGAAUGAUCAUAUCGAGGGAAUUCACUCAGAACUAACAAGAAUGAUAACGUGCUCCGACUGGAGCAGUUUAGAAACUGCUGGAAGGCUCUAGGGGAAUAAAGAUGGAAUGACUUCUAAUUUUUAGGUCUGUAUGAUUUGAAAUACGUGCACACAAACCCCGAGAAAGCGUUCCUGGAAAUCUCGUCCGGAAAAAGGAUGUUUAAUAAUUCUAAAAGGGACUACAGGAUGAAAAACAAUAGUUUUGGCAGUUAAAGUUUGUGAUUCGAUGGUGCCGUAGAUCUGUUUGGUCAUCAGGUGUUACGGGCCACACCCAUGUCUAGCUAGAAUAGUGUGUUAGGCUCAGGCUAGAGCAGAAACGGGGAGCAAACUUAUGAAAGAAUGAUCAUAGCGAGGGAAUUUACUCAGAACUAACAAGAAUGAUAACGUGCUCCGACUGGAGCGGUUUAGGAACUGCUGGAAGGCUCUAGGGGAAUAAAGAUGGAAUGACUUCAAAUUUUCAGGUAUGUAUGAUCUGAAAUACUUGCACACAAACCGCGAGAAAGCGUUCCUGGAAAUCUCAACCCAAAAAAGGAUGUUUAGUAAUUCUAAAAGGGACUACAGGAUUAAAAACAAUAGUUUUGGCAGUUAAAGUUUGAGAUUCGAUAAUGUCGUAGAUCCGUUUGGUCAUCAGGUGUAACGAGCCACACCCAUGUCUAGCUAGAGUAGUGUGCUAGGCUCAUACUAGAGAAGAAACGGGGAACAAACUGAUGAAAGAAUGAUCAUACCGAGGGAAUUCACUCAGAACUAACAAGAAUGAUAACGUGCUCCGACUGGAGCGGUUUAGGAACUGCUGGAAGGCUCUAGGGGAAUAAAGAUGGAAUGACUUCUUAUUUUUAGGUCCGUAUGAUUUGAAAUACAUGCACACAAACCCCAAGAAAGCGUUCCGGGAAAUCUCGGCCCAAAGAAUGAUGUUUAGUAAUUCUAAAAGGGACUAUAGAAUGAAAAACAAUAGUUUUGGCAGUUAAAGUUUGAGAUUUGACGGUGUCGUAGAUCUGUUUGGUCAUCAGGUGUUACGAGCCACACCCAUUUCUAGCUAGAAUAGUGUGUUAGGCUCAGGCUAGAAAAGAAACGGGGAACAAAGUGAUGAAAGAAUGAUCAUACCGAGGGAAUUCACUCAGAACUAACAAGAAUGAUAACAUGCUCCGACUAGAGCGGUUUAGGAACUGCUGGAAGGCUCUAGGGGAAUAAAUAUGGAAUGACUUCUAAUUUUCAGGUCCGUAUGAUUUGAAAUACUUGCACACAAACCGCGCGAAAGCGUUCCUGGAAAUCUCAUCCCAAAGAAGGUCGUUUAGUAAUUCUAAAAGGGACUACAGGAUGAAAAACAAUAGUUUUGGCAAUUUAAGGUUUGAGAUUCGACGGUGCCGUAGAUCCGUUUGGUCAUCAGGUGUUACGAGCCACACCCAUGUCUAGCUAGAAUAGUGUGCUAGGCUCAGGCUAGAGAAGAAACAGGGAACAAACUGAUGAAAGAAUGAUCAAACCGAGGGAAUUCACUCAGAACUAACAAUAAUGAUAACGUUCUCCGUCUGGAGCGGUUUAGGAACUGCUGGAAGGCUCUAGGGGAAUAAAGAUGGAAUGACUUCUAAUUUUUAGGUCCGUAUGAUUUGAAAUACUUGCACACAAACCGCGCCAAAUCGUUCCUGGAAAUCUCAGCCCAAAAAAGGACGUUUAGUAAUUCUAAAAGGGACUACAGGAUGAAAAACAAUAGUUUUGGCAGUUAAAGUUUGAGAUUCGAUGGUGCCGUAGACCCGUUUGGUCAUCAGGUGUUACGAGCCACACCCAUGUCUAGCUAGAGUAGUGUGCUAGGUUCAGACUAGAGAAGAAACAGGGAACAAAGUGAUGAAAGAAUGAUCAUACCGAGGGAAUUCACUCAGAACUAACAAGAAUGAUAACGUGCUCCGACUGGAGCGGUUUAGGAACUGCUGGAAGGCUCUAGGGGAAUAAAGAUGGAAUGACUUCUAAUUUUUACGUCCGUAUGAUUUGAAAUACUUGCACACAAACCACGCAAAAGCGUUCCUGGAAAUCUCAGCCUAAAAAAGGACGUUUAGUAAUUCAAAAAGGGACUACAAAAUGAAAAACAAUAGUUUUGGCAGUUAAAGUUUGAGAUUCGAUGGUGCCGUAGAUCCGUUUGGUCAUCAGGUGUUACGAGCCACACCCAUGUCUAGCUAGGAUAGUGUGUUAGGCUCAGGCUAGAGAAGAAACGGGGAACAAACUGAUGAAAGAAUGAUCAUACCGAGGGAAUUCACUCAGAACUAACAAGGAUGAUAACAUGCUCCGACUAGAGCGGUUUAGGAACUGCUGGAAGGCUCUAGGGGAAUAAAGAUGGAAUGACUUCUAAUUUUUAGGUCCGUAUGAUUUGAAAUACUUGCACACAAACCGCAAGAAAGCGUUCCUGGAAAUCUCAGCCCAAAAAAGGACGUUUAGUAAUUCUAAAAGGGACUACAGGAUGAAAAACAAUAGUUCUGGCAGUUAAAGUUUGAGAUUCGAUAAUGCCGUAGAUCUGUUUGGUCAUCAGGUGUAACGAGCCACACCCAUGUCUAGCUAGAGUAGUGUGCUAGGCUCAGACUAGAGAAGAAACGGGGAACAAACUGAUGAAAGAAUGAUUAUACCGAGGGAAUUCACUCAGAACUAACGAGAAUGAUAACGUGCUCCGACUGGAGCGGUUUAGGAACUGCUGGAAGGCUCUAGGGGAAUAAAGAUGGAAUGACUUCAAAUUUUUAGGUCUGUAUGAUUUGAAAUACUUGCACACAAACCGCAAGAAAGCGUUCCUUGAAAUCUCAGCCCAAAAAAGGACGUUUAGUAAUUCUAAAAGGGACUACAGGAUGAAAAACAAUAGUUCUGGCAGUUAAAGUUUGAGAUUCGAUAAUGUCGUAGAUCCGUUUGGUCAUCAGGUGUAACGAGCCACACCCAUGUCUAGCUAGAGUAGUGUGCUAGGCUCAGAAUAGAGAAGAAACGGGGAACAAACUGAUGAAAGAAUGAUCAUACCGAGGGAAUUCACUCAGAACUAACAAGAAUGAUAACGUGCUCCGACUGGAGCGGUUUAGGAACUGCUGGAAGGCUCUAGGGGAAUAAAGAAGGAAUGACUUCUAAUUUUUAGGUCCGUAUGAUUUGAAAUACGUGCACACAAACCGCGCGAAAGCGUUCCUGGAAAUCUCAGCCAAAAAAAGGACGUUUAGUAUUCUAAAAGGGACUACAGAAUGAAAAACAAUAGUUUUGGCAGUUAAAGUUUGAGAUUCGACGGUGCUGUAGAUCCGUUUGGUCAUCAGGUGUUACGAGCCACACCCAUGUCUAGCUAGAAUAGUGUGCUAGGCUCAGGCUAGAGAAGAAAAGGGGAACAAACUAAUGAAAGAAUGAUCAAUCCGAGGGAAUUCACUCAGAACUAACAAUAAUGAUAACGUGCUCCGACUGGAGCGGUUUAGGAACUGCUGGAAGGCUCUAGGCGAAUAAAGAUGGAAUGACUUCUAAUUUUUACGUCCGUAUGAUUUGAAAUACUUGCACACAAACCACGCAAAAGCGUUCCUGGAAGUCUCGGCCUAAAAAGGACGUUUAGUAAUUCUAAAAGGGACUACAGGAUGAAAAAUAAUAGUUUGGGCAGUUAAAAUUUGAGAUUCGACGGUGCCGUAGAUCCAUUUGGUCAUCAAGUGUUACGAGCCACACCCAUGUCUAGCUAGAAUAGUGUGUUAGGCUCAGGCUAGAGAAGAAACGGGGAACAAACUGAUGAAAGAAUGAUCAUACCAAGGGAAUUCACUCAGAACUAACAAGAAUGAUAACGUGCUCCGACUGGAGCAGUUUAGAAACUGCUGGAAGGCUCUUGGGGAAUAAAGAUGGAAUGACUUCAAAUUUUUAGGUCCGUAUGAUUUGAAAUACUUGCACACAAACCACGCGAAAGCGUUCCUGGAAAUCUCAGCCCAAAAAAGGACGUUUAGUAAUUCUAAAAGGGACUACAUGAUGAAAAACAAUAGUUUUGGCAGUUAAAGUUUGAGAAUCGUCGGUGCCGUAGAUCCGUUUGGUCAUCAGCUGUAACGAGCCACACCCAUGUCUAGCUAGAGUAGUGUGCUAGGCUCAGACUAGAGAAGAAACAGGGAACAAAGUGAUGAAAGAAUGAUCAUACCGAGGGAAUUCACUUAGAACUAACAAGAAUGAUAACAUGCUCCGACUUGAGCGAUUUAGGAACUUCUGGAAGGCUCUAGGGGAAUAAAGAUGGAAUGACUCAAAUUUUUAGGCCCGUAUGAUUUGAAAUACAUGCACACAAACCGCGAGAAAGUGUUCCUGGAAAUCUUAGCCCAAAAAAGGACGUUUAGUAAUUCUAAAAGGGACUACAGGAUGAAAAACAAUAGUUUUGGUAGUUAAAGUUUCAGAUUCGAUAAUGCCCUAGAUCCGUUUGGUCAUCAGGUGUAACGAGCCACACCAAUGUCUAGCUAGAGUAGUGUGCUAGGCUCAGACUAGAUAAGAAACGGGGAAGAAACUGAUGAAAGAAUGAUCAGACCGAGGGAAUUCACUCAGAACUAACAAUAAUGAUAACGUGCUCCGAGUGGAGCGGUUUAGGAACUGCUGGAAGGCUCUAGGGGAAUAAAGAUGGAAUGACUUCUAAUUUUUAGGUCCGUAUGAUUUGAAAUACGUGCACACAAACCCCGAGAAACCGUUCCUUGAAAUCUCGGCCCAAAAAAGGACGUUUAGUAAUUCUAAAAGGGACUACAAAAUGAAAAACAAUAGUUUUGGCAGUUAAAGUUUGAGAUUCGACGGUGUCGUAGACCCGUUUGGUCUUCAGGUGUUACGAGCCACACCCAUGUCUAGCCAGAGUAGUGUGCUAGGUUCAGACUAGAGAAGAAACGGGGAACAAAGUGAUGAAAGAAUGAUCAUACCGAGGGAAUUCACUCAGAACUAACAAGAAUGAUAACGUGCUCCGACUGGAGCGGGUUAGGAACUCCUGGAAGGCUCUAGGGGAAUAAAGAUGGAAUGACUUCUAAUUUUUACGUCCGUAUGAUUUGAAAUACUUGCACACAAACCACGCAAAAGCGUUCCUGGAAAUCUCAGCCUAAAAAAGGACGUUUAGUAAUUCUAAAAGGGACUACAGGAUGAAAAAUAAUAGUUUGGUCAUCAGGUGUUACGAGCCACACCCAUGUCUAGCUAGAAUAGUGUGCUAGGCUCAGGCUAGAGAAGAAACGGGGAAUAAACUGAUGAAAGAAUGAUCAAACCGAGGGAAUUCACUCAGAACUAACAAUAAUGAUAACGUUCUCCGUCUGGAGCGGUUUAGGAACUGCUGGAAGGCUCUAGGGGAAUAAAGAUGGAAUGACUUCUAAUUUUUAGGUCCGUAUGAUACGAAAUACUUGCACACAAACCGCGCGAAAUCGUUCCUGGAAAUCUCAGCCCAAAAAAGGACGUUUAGUAAUUCUAAAAGGGACUACAGCAUGAAAAACAAUAGUUCUGGCAGUUAAAGUUUGAGAUUCGAUAAUGCCGUAGAUCCGUUUGGUCAUCAGGUGUAACGAGCCACACCCAUGUCUAGCUAGAGUAGUAUGCUAGGCUCAGACUAGAGAAGAAACGGGGAACAAACUGAUGAAAGAAUGAUUAUACCGAGGGAAUUCACUCAGAACUAACAAGAAUGAUAACGUGCUCCGGCUGGAGCGGUUUAGGAACUGCUAGAAGGCUCUAGGGGAAUAAAGAUGGAAUGACUUCAAAUUUUUAGGUCUGUAUGAUUUGAAAUACUUGCACACAAACCGCAAGAAAGCGUUCCUGGAAAUCUCAGCCCAAAAAAGGACGUUUAGUAAUUCUAAAAGGGACUAUAGGAUGAAAAACAAUAGUUCUGGUAGUUAAAGUUUGAGAUUCGAUAAUGUCAUAGAUCCGUUCGGUCAUCAGGUGUAACGAGCCACACCCAUGUCUAGCUAGAGUAGUGUGCUAGGCUCAGACUAGAGAAGAAACGGGGAACAAACUGAUGAAAGAAUGAUCAUACCGAGGGAAUUCACUCAGAACUAACAAGAAUGAUAACGUGCUCCGACUGGAGCGGUUUAGGAACUGCUGGAAGGCUCUAGGGGAAGAAAGAAGGAAUGACUUCUAAUUUUUAGGUCCGUAUGAUUUGAAAUACGUGCACACAAACCGCGCGAAAGCGUUCCUGGAAAUCUCAGCCCAAAAAAGGACGUUUAGUAUUCUAAAAGGGACUACAGAAUGAAAAACAAUAGUUUUGGCAGUUAAAGUUUGAGAUUCGACGGUGCCGUAGAUCCGUUUGGUCAUCAGGUGUUACGAGCCACACCCAUGUCUAGCUAGAAUAGUGUGCUAGGCUCAGGCUAGAGAAGAAAAGGGGAACAAACUGAUGAAAGAAUGAUCAAACCGAGGGAAUUCACUCAGAACUAACAAUAAUGAUAACGUGCUCCGACUGGAGCGGUUUAGGAACUGCUGGAAGGCUCUUGGCGAAUAAAGAUGGAAUGACUUCUAAUUUUUACGUCCGUAUGAUUUGAAAUACUUCCACACAAACCAGGCAAAGGCGUUCCUGGAAAUCUCGGCCUAAAAAGGACGUUUAGUAAUUCUAAAAGGGACUACAGGAUGAAAAAUAAUAGUUUGGGCAGUUAAAAUUUUAGAUUCGACGGUGCCGUAGAUCCGUUUGGUCAUCAGGUGUUACGAGCCACACCCAUGUCUAGCUAGAAUAGUGUGUUAGGCUCAGGCUAGAGAAGAAACGGGGAACAAACUGAUGAAAGAAUGAUCAUACCAAGGGAAUUCACUCAGAACUAACAAGAAUGAUAACGUGCUCCGACUGGAGCAGUUUAGAAACUACUGGAAGGCUCUAGGGGAAUAAAGAUGGAAUGACUUCAAAUUUUUAGGUCCGUAUGAUUUGAAAUACUUGCACACAAACCGCGCGAAAGCGUUCCUGGAAAUCUCAGCCCAAAAAAGGACGUUUAGUAAUUCUAAAAGGGACUACAUGAUGAAAAACAAUAGUUUUGGCAGUUAAAGUUUGAGAUUCGUCGGUGCCGUAGAUCCGUUUGGUCAUCAGCUGUAACGAGCCACACCCAUUUCUAGCUAGAGUAGUGUGCUAGGCUCAGACUAAAGAAGAAAUGGGGAACAAAGUGAUGAAAGAAUGCUCAUACCGAGGGAAUUCACUCAGAACUAACAAGAAUGAUAACAUGCUCCGACUUGAGCGAUUUAGGAACUUCUGGAAGGCUCUAGGGGAAUAAAGAUGGAAUGACUCAAAUUUUUAGGUCCGUAUGAUUUGAAAUACUUGCACACAAACCGCGAGAAAGCGUUCCUGGAAAUCUCAGCCCAAAAAAGGACGUUUAGUAAUUCUAAAAGGGACUACAUGAUGAAAAACAAUAGUUUUGGCAGUUAAAGUUUGAGAUUUGAUAAUGCCGUAGAUCCGUUUGGUCAUCAGGUGUAACGAGCCACACCCAUGUCUAGCUAGAGUAGUGUGCUAGGCUAAGACUAGAUAAGAAAAGGGGAAGAAACUUAUGAAAGAAUGAUCAGACCGAGGGAAUUCACUCAGAACUAACAAUAAUGAUAACGUGCUCCGACUGGAGCGGUUUAGGAACUGCUGGAAGGCUCUAGGGGAAUAAAGAUGGAAUGACUUCUAAUUUUUAGGUCCGUAUGAUUUGAAAUACGUGCACACAAACCCCGAGAAACCGUUCCUGGAAAUCUCGGCCCAAAAAAGGAUGUUUAGUAAUUCUAAAAGGGACUACAAAAUGAAAAACAAUAGUUUUGGCAGUUAAAGUUUGAGAUUUGAUGGUGCCGUAGAUCUGUUUGGUCAUCAGGUGUUACGAGCCACACCCAUGUCUAGCUAGAAUAGUGUGUUAGGCUCAGGCUAGAAAAGAAACGGGAAACAAAGUGAUGAAAGAAUGAUCAUACCGAGGGAAUUCACUCAGAACUAACAAGAAUGAUAACAUGCUCUGACUGGAGCGGUUUAGGAACUGCUGGAAGGCUCUAGGGGAAUAAAGAUGGAAUGACUUCUAAUGUUUAGGUCCGUAUGAUUUGAAAUACUUGCACAUAAACCGCGCAAAAGCGUUCCUGGAAAUCUCAGCCCAAAAAAGGACGUUUAGUAAUUCUAAAAGGGACUACAGGAUGAAAAACAAUAGUUUUGGCAGUUAAAGUUUGAGAUUCGACGGUGCCGUAGAUCCGUUUGUUCAUCAGGUGUUACGAGCCACACCCAUGUCUAGCUAGAAUAGUGUGUUAGGCUCAGGCUAGAGAAGAAACGGGGAACAAACUGAUGAAAGAAUGAUCAAACCGAGGGAAUUCACUCAGAACUAACAAUAAUGAUAACGUGCUCCGACUAGAGCGGUUUAGGAACUGCUGGAAGGCUCUAGGGGAAUAAAGAUGGAAUGACUUCUAAUUUUUAGGUCUGUAUGAUUUGAAAUACUUGCACGCAAACCGCGCGAAAGCGUUCCCGGAAAUAUCAGCCUAAAGAAGGACGUUUAGUAAUUCUAAAAGGGACUACAGGAUGAAAAACAAUAGUUUUGGCAGUUAAAGUUUGAGAUUCAACGGUGCCGUAGAUCCGUUUGGUCAUCAGGUGUUACGAGCCACACCCAUGUCUAGCUAGAGUAGUGUGCUAGGCUCAGGCUAGAGAAGAAACAGGGAACAAACUGAUGAAAGAAUGAUCAUACCGAGGGAAUUCACUCAGAACUGAUGAAAGAAUGAUCAAACCAAGGAAAUUCACUCAGAACUAACAAUAAUGAUAACAUGCUCCGACUGGAGCGGUUUAGGAACUGCUGGAAGGCUCUAGGGGAAUAAAGAUGGAAUGACUUCUAAUUUUUAGGUCCGUAUGAUUUGAAAUACGUGCACACAAACCCCGAGAAACCGUUCCUGGAAAUCUCGGCCCAAAAAAGGACGUUUAGUAAUUCUAAAAGGGACAACAAAAUGAAAAACAAUAGUUUUGGCAGUUAAAGUUUGAGAUUCGACGGUGCCGUAGACCCGUUUGGUCAUCAGGUGUUACGAGCCACACCCAUGUCUAGCUAGAGUAGUGUGCUAGGUUCAGACUAGAGAAGAAACGGGGAACAAAGUGAUGAAAGAAUGAUCAUACCGAGGGAAUUCACUCAGAACUAACAAGAAUGAUAACGUGCUCCGACUGGAGCGGGUUAGGAAUUGCUGGAAGGCUCUAGGGGAAUAAAGAUAGAAUGACUUCUAAUUUUUACGUCCGUAUGAUUUGAAAUACUUGCACACAAACCACGCAAAAGCGUUCCUAGAAAUCUCAGCCUAAAAAAGGACGUUUAGUAAUUCUAAAAGGGACUACAGGAUGAAAAAUAAUAGUUUGGCCAGUUAAAAUUUAAGAUUCGACGGUGCCGUAGAUCCGCUUGGUCAUCAGGUGUUACGAGCCACACCCAUGUCUAGCUAGAAUAGUGUGUUAGGCUCAGGCUAGAGAAGAAACGGGGAACAAACUGAUGAAAGAAUGAUCAUACCGAGGGAAUUCACUCAGAACUAACAAGAAUGAUAACAUGCUCCGACUGGAGCGGUUUAGGAACUGCUGGAAGGCUCUAGGGGAAUAAAGAUGGAAUGACUUCUAAUUUUUAGGUCCGUAUGAUUUGAAAUACUUGCACACAAACCGCAAGAAAGCGUUCCUGGAAAUCUCAGCACAAAAAAGGACGUUUAGUAAUUCUAAAAGGGACUACAGCAUGAAAAACAAUAGUUCUGGCAGUUAAAGUUUGAGAUUCGAUAAUGCCGUAGAUCCGUUUGGUCAUCAGGUGUAACGAGCCACACCCAUGUCUAGCUAGAGUAGUGUGCUAGGCUCAGACUAGAGAAGAAACGGGGAACAAAAUGAUGAAAGAAUGAUUAUACCGAGGGAAUUCACUCAGAACUAACAAGAAUGAUAACGUGCUCCGACUGGAGCGGUUUAGGAACUGCUGGAAGGCUCUAGGGGAAUAAAGAUGGAAUGACUUCAAAUUUUUAGGUCUGUAUGAUUUGAAAUACUUGCACACAAACCGCAAGAAAGCGUUCCUGGAAAUCUCAGCCCAAAAAUGGACGUUUAGUAAUUCUAAAAGGGACUAUAGGAUGAAAAACAAUAGUUCUGGCAGUUAAAGUUUGAGAUUCGAUAAUGUCGUAGAUCCGUUCGGUCAUCAGGUGUAACGAGCCACACCCAUGUCUAGCUAGAGUAGUGUGCUAGGCUCAGACUAGAGAAGAAACGGGGAACAAACUGAUGAAAGAAUGAUCAUACCGAGGGAAUUCACUCAGAACUAACAAGAAUGAUAACGUGCUCCGACUGGAGCGGUUUAGGAACUGCUGGAAGGCUCUAGGGGAAGAAAGAAGGAAUGACUUCUAAUUUUUAGGUCCGUAUGAUUUGAAAUACGUGCACACAAACCGCGCGAAAGCGUUCCUGGAAAUCUCAGCCCAAAAAAGGACGUUUAGUAUUCUAAAAGGGACUACAGAAUGAAAAACAAUAGUUUUGGCAGUUAAAGUUUGAGAUUCGACGGUGCCGUAGAUCCGUUUGGUCAUCAGGUGUUACGAGCCACACCCAUGUCUAGCUAGAAUAGUGUGCCAGGCUCAGGCUAGAGAAGAAAAGGGGAACAAACUGAUGAAAGAAUGAUCAAACCGAGGGAUUUCACUCAGAACUAACAAUAAUGAUAACGUGCUCCGACUGGAGCGGUUUAGGAACUGCUGGAAGGCUCUAGGCGAAUAAAGAUGGAAUGACUUCUAAUUUUUACGUCCGUAUGAUUUUAAAUACUUGCACACAAACCACGCAAAAGCGUUCCUGGAAAUCUCGGCCUAAAAAGGACGUUUAGUAAUUCUAAAAGGGACUACAGGAUGAAAAAUAAUAGUUUGGGCAGUUAAAAUUUGAGAUUCGACGGUGCCGUAGAUCCGUUUGGUCAUCAGGUGUUACGAGCCACACCCAUGUCUAGCUAGAAUAGUGUGUUAGGCUCAGGCUAGAGAAGAAACAGGGAACAAACUGAUGAAAGAAUGAUCAUACCAAGGGAAUUCACUCAGAACUAACAAGAAUGAUAACGUGCUCCGACUGGAGCAGUUUAGAAACUGCUGGAAGGCUCUAGGGGAAUAAAGAUGGGAUGACUUCAAAUUUUUAGGUCCGUAUGAUUUGAAAUACUUGCACACAAACCGCGCGAAAGCGUUCCUGGAAAUCGCAGCCCAAAAAAGGACGUUUAGUAAUUCUAAAAGGGACUACAUGAUGAAAAACAAUAGUUUUGGCAGUUAAAGUUUGAGAUUCGUCGGUGCCGUAGAUCCGUUUGGUCAUCAGCUGUAACGAGCCACACCCAUGUCUAGCUAGAGUAGUGUGCUAGGCUCAGACUAGAGAAGAAAUGGGGAAAAAAGUGAUGAAAGAAUGAUCAUACCGAGGGAAUUCACUCAGAACUAACAAGAAUGAUAACAUGCUCCGACAUGAGCGAUUUAGGAACUUCUGGAAGGCUCUAGGGGAAUAAAGAUGGAAUGACUCAAAUUUUUAGGUCCGUAUGAUUUGAAAUACUUGCACACAAACCGCGAGAAAGCGUUCCUGGAAAUCUCAGCCCAAAAAAGGACAUUUAGUAAUUCUAAAAGGGACUACAGGAUGAAAAACAAUAGUUUUGGCAGUUAAAGUUUGAGAUUUGAUAAUGCCGUAGAUCCGUUUGGUCAUCAGGUGUAACGAGCCACACCCAUGUCUAGCUAGAGUAGUGUGCUAGGCUAAGACUAGAUAAGAAACCGGGAAGAAACUAAUGAAAGAAUGAUCAGACCGAGGGAAUUCACUCAGAACUAACAAUAAUGAUAACGUGCUCCGACUGGAGCGGUUUAGGAACUGCUGGAAGGCUCUAGGGGAAUAAAGAUGAAAUGACUUCUAAUUUUUAGGUUCGUAUGAUUUGAAAUACAUGCACACAAACCCCGAGAAACCGUUCCUGGAAAUCUCGGCCCAAAAAAGGAUGUUUAGUAAUUCUAAAAGGGACUACAAAAUGAAAAACAAUAGUUUUGGUAGUUAAAGUUUGAGAUUUGAUGGUGCCAUAGAUCUGUUUGGUCAUCAGGUGUUACGAGCCACACCCAUGUCUAGCUAGAAUAGUGUGUUAGGCUCAGGCUAGAAAAGAAACGGGAAACAAAGUGAUGAAAGAAUGAUCAUACCGAGGGAAUUCACUCAGAACUAACAAGAAUGAUAACAUGCUCUGACUGGAGCGGUUUAGGAACUGCUGGAAGGCUCUAGGGGAAUAAAGAUGGAAUGACUUCUAAUGUUUAGGUCCGAGGUCCGUAUGAUUUGAAAUACUUGCACAUAAACCGUGCAAAAGCGUUCCUGGAAAUCUCAGCCCAAAAAAGGACGUUUAGUAAUUCUAAAAGGGACUACAGGAUGAAAAACAAUAGUUUUGGCAGUUAAAGUUUGAGAUUCGACGGUGCCGUAGAUCCGUUCGUUCAUCAGGUGUUACGAGCCACACCCAUGUCUAGCUAGAAUAGUGUGUUAGGCUCAGGCUAGAGAAGAAACGGGGAACAAACUGAUGAAAGAAUGAUCAAACCGAGGGAAUUCACUCAGAACUAACAAUAAUGAUAACGUGCUCCGACUAGAGCGGUUUAGGAACUGCUGGAAGGCUCUAGGGGAAUAAAGAUGGAAUGACUUCUAAUUUUUAGGUCUGUAUGAUUUGAAAUACUUGCACGCAAACCGCGCGAAAGCGUUCCCGGAAAUAUCAGCCCAAAAAAGGACGUUUAGUAAUUCUAAAAGGGACUACAGGAUGAAAAACAAUAGUUUUGGCAGUUAAAGUUUGAGAUUCAACGGUGCCGUAGAUCCGUUUGGUCAUCAGGUGUUACGAGCCACACCCAUGUCUAGCUAGAGUAGUGUGCUAGGCUCAGGCUAGAGAAGAAACAGGGAACAAACUGAUGAAAGAAUGAUCAUACCGAGGGAAUUCACUCAGAACUGAUGAAAGAAUGAUCAAACCGAGGAAAUUCACUCAGAACUAACAAUAAUGAUAACAUGCUCCGACUGGAGCGGUUUAGGAACUGCUGGAAGGCUCUAGGGGAAUAAAGAUGGAAUGACUUCUAAUUUUUAGGUCCGUAUGAUUUGAAAUACGGGCACACAAACCCCGAGAAACCGUUCCUGGAAAUCUCGGCCCGAAAAAGGACGUUUAGUAAUUCUAAAAGGGACUACAAAAUGAAAAACAAUAGUUUUGGCAGUUAAAGUUUGAGAUUCGACGGUGCCGUAGACCCGUUCGGUCAUCAGGUGUAACGAGCCACACCCAUGUCUAGCUAGAGUAGUGUGCUAGGCUCAGACUAGAGAAGAAACGGGGAACAAACUGAUGAAAGAAUGAUCAUACCGAGGGAAUUCACUCAGAACUAACAAGAAUGAUAACGUGCUCCGACUGGAGCGGUUUAGGAACUGCUAGAAGGCUCUAGGGGAAGAAAGAAGGAAUGACUUCUAAUUUUUAGGUCUGUAUGAUUUGAAAUACGUGCACACAAACCGCGCGAAAGCGUUCCUGGAAAUCUCAGCCCAAAAAAGGACGUUUAGUAUUCUAAAAGGGACUACAGAAUGAAAAACAAUAGUUUUAGCAGUUAAAGUUUGAGAUUCGACGGUGCCGUAGAUCCGUCUGGUCAUCAGGUGUUACGAGCCACACCCAUGUCUAGCUAGAAUAGUGUGCUAGGCUCAGGCUAGAGAAGAAAAGGGGAACAAACUGAUGAAAGAAUGAUCAAACCGAGGGAAUUCACUCAGAACUAACAAUAAUGAUAACGUGCUCCGACUGGAGCGGUUUAGGAACUGCUGGAAGGCUCUAGGCGAAUAAAGAUGGAAUGACUUCUAAUUUUUACGUCCGUAUGAUUUGAAAUACUUGCACACAAACCACGCAAAAGCGUUCCUGGAAAUCUCGGCCUAAAAAGGACGUUUAGUAAUUCUAAAAGGGACUACAGGAUGAAAAAUAAUAGUUUGGGCAGUUAAAAUUUGAGAUUCGACGGUGCCGUAGAUCCGUUUGGUCAUCAGGUGUUACGAGCCACACCCAUCUCUAGCUAGAAUAGUGUGUUAGGCUCAGGCUAGAGAAGAAACGGGGAACAAACUGAUG